rnacentral:rRNA from 1 species
AACGAACGCUGGCGGCAUGCCUAACACAUGCAAGUCGAACGAGACCUUCGGGUCUAGUGGCGCACGGGUGCGUAACGCGUGGGAACCUGCCUUUAGGUUCGGAAUAACUCAGAGAAAUUUGAGCUAAUACCGGAUGAUGUCUUCGGACCAAAGAUUUAUCGCCUUUAGAUGGGCCCGCGUUGGAUUAGCUAGUUGGUGGGGUAAAGGCCUACCAAGGCGACGAUCCAUAGCUGGUCUGAGAGGAUGAUCAGCCACACUGGGACUGAGACACGGCCCAGACUCUUACGGGAGGCAGCAGUGGGGAAUAUUGGACAAUGGGCGAAAGCAUGAUCCAGCAAUGCCGCGUGAGUGAUGAAGGCCUUAGGGUUGUAAAGCUCUUUUACCCGAGAUGAUAAUGACAGUAUCGGGAGAAUAAGCUCCGGCUAACUCCGUG